UACGGAGGGAGCUAGCGUUGUUCGGAAUUACUGGGCGUAAAGCGCACGUAGGCGGCGCAGCAAGUCAGGGGUGAAAUCCCGGGGCUCAACCCCGGAACUGCAUCUGAAACUGCAGUGCUAGAAUCUUGGAGAGGCGAGUGGAAUUCCGAGUGUAGAGGUGAAAUUCGUAGAUAUUCGGAAGAACACCAGUGGCGAAGGCGACUCGCUGGACAAGUAUUGACGCUGAGGUGCGAAAGCGUGGGGAGCAAACAGG
rnacentral:rRNA from 1 species